AGUGUGACUUAAUCAUGAGAUCAGAUUUAACAUAAGGACACUAUUAUUAAAGUAUCCAUAGUCGAGCUUUAUUGUGAAGUGGGAUAACAUUAAAGCAUUAAGACUAUUAUGUAUAUAGACUGAUGAUCACAUCCCAUGGAUCAUGGAUAAGGAGUUAUCAACUCUUAAACAUAGGUACGAAUAUUAAGAGUAAUAUUUAUACU
rnacentral:lncRNA from 1 species